CUCUCUUGCUCCUCCUCACUCCUUCAAGAGUCCAAGUCCUGAUCACAGGGCCACCAGUCCCUAAUGGUAGCCCGUGGACAGAGAGAGUCAAGGGCAGGGAGGGUCUUGAUUCCUCCUGGGCAUCUCAGCAUGUGGGCAAAGAACAGCCUGGAAGGAGGCAGGAGAGGAGAAGAAAGAACAAGAGGAGAGGAGGGUCCCCGCCUGAGCGACUGUGAUGAUGGGGAGAAGCCUGGAGGCCAGAGCUCGGCGCCCUUUGACCCCCCUCUCCCCGCCCCCACCCUUCAAAUGUCCCCAGCUCAGCCUGGCUUGCUGGCUGGUCUCCCAGGUCUGAAACAACACCCUGGGGGCAUUUCCCAGCAAGCACGCCUUGUGUUGGAUGCUGGACCUAAUAUCCUAAUAUUCCUCUGCGCCCUGAAAGUGGAGGUGACCUUUCGCGGGGUCAUCAAGAGUUCUGCAUUAGGCUAUCCAGACGCUUUGUUCACUGACAACGAUGUUCUCUCUCACAGGAGCCCUCUCCUUGGUCUUCUGUCCAGGGGACGGGUCCCCGACAGGAGACUCAAAGGUUACAACCUCUGAGCACAGAUGAUAAGCUCACAAAAGAAAGUCACACAGACAAAAAUAAAGCUGGUUGAAUGAGCGGAAAUGAAUGGUCUAGACUCGGAGACUCUCUGCCAAGCCCACUACUGUUCUUCUCCCUCCUUGGCAGGAAGGGCGGGUGAGGGCCUGUUUAAAUGCAAAGUAUGUGAGUGUAGCUCACAUUCCACAAAACGCUUGUGUUGCAUCCCGGCUGAGUAGCUGUCUCAGGGGCAAACACCCAUACAAGGAAUAUGCGUCUGCAGUGGCGGCGGCAGGAGGCUGAGAUGCGCCUGGCUUCUCUGAGCAGUGAGCGAGCAUCCUGACUCUGCUGCCUCAAGCUGUGCUCCAUCCACACUGAAAGAGGAGCCAGGCCCUUCCUGGAAAAAAAGGGCUUCCAGAGCCAGAGGAACCAGGUAAGUAGCGGUCAAGCAAAGAGUCCAAAGAAUAGAACAACCUGGUCAACAGUGUGGUGCCACCAAAGCGAAACAACCUAAGUCGCAUGUCUACCAUGGGCCAUGCACCAUGCCAGGUACUAGGAAUGAAGCAAUCAAGAAACAAGAUCCUUUCAAGCCAGGAACUUACGGUCUUGUGUGAGAGCUGGGGCAUGAGUACAUAUAUGUUUAAUACUCAUAUGAAAGGGGUUCUUAUGUGUCAUAAGAAAAAUCAAGACAAAGGAGCACAGGGAUUCAGAGCCUCACUUCUCUCCCCUCUAAAAGGGAGCAAAGCAUAACAUCUGUUCCACUGGGUCACAGGUUUGAGUGAGACCAUUUCUGUGAGACUGGCUCUGCCCAUGCUGCAACAUCACAUGAAUGCUGGUUGUGACACAUGGGCCCCAGGGGCUUAUAGCUCUGUGGGAUUCUGCAGCAAGGACAAGGAUGCCAAGCUUCUCCUGAAGUUCCUAAGGGGCACAUCUUCUACUUUCUCCCUUCUCCCACCUGGAGCCCACAGACUAUCAUUUUCAAUUAUUUUCUCACCAGUGCCCUGAGUCCCUUCUGCCCAGUCCCCACUCUAUUGAGUGGGUGCUUCAUAAAUGAAGAUGUGCUUGCCUGAACUUUAAUUAGUAUGGUGGAAUGUGCUUUAGAAUCACAAGCCCCGGGUGGAGUUCCGACUUGAUCAAGUCAUUUGAUUUCUCUAAGCCUCAAUUUUUAUCAUCUGUAAAGGAGGACCAUGGGGCCUCAGCGGCAAUAACAUCUAUGCAAUGAGUCUGUAAGUGGUAAAUACGAAGAGAGCCUGCAGAAGCAUGAGGGCUUAUUAGUACUCUCAGUGGUGUGAACGGCUGACACAUACUGACACCCACCCAAGUGGGUGCCCAAUGCUGACUGGGCACUUAGAGCCAAGAGACCU